UAGGGAAUCUUCGGCAAUGGACGGAAGUCUGACCGAGCAACGCCGCGUGAGUGAAGAAGGCUUUCGGAUCGUAAAGCUCUGUUGUUAGAGAAGAACGUUGGUAGGAGUGAAAAAUCUACCAAGUGACGGUAACUAACCAGAAAGGGACGGCUAACUACGUGCCAGCAGCCGCGGUAAUACGUAGGUCCCGAGCGUUGUCCGGAUUUAUUGGGCGUACAGCGAGCGCAGGCGGUUCUUUAAGUCUGAAGGUAAAGGCGGUGGCUUAAUCAUUGUACGCUUUGGAAACGGGAGGACUUGAGUGCAGAAGGGGAGACUGGAAUUCCAUGUGUAGCGGUGAAAUGCGCAGAUAUAUGGAGGAACACCGGUGGCGAAAGCGGCUCUCUGGUCUGUAACUGACGCUGAGGCUCGAAAGCGUGGGGAGCAAACAGG
rnacentral:rRNA from 1 species